CCUACGGGGUGCAGCAGUGGGGAAUAUUGCACAAUGGGGGAAACCCUGAUGCAGCGACGCCGCGUGAGCGAUGAAGUAUUUCGGUAUGUAAAGCUCUAUCAGCAGGGAAGAAAAUGACGGUACCUGACUAAGAAGCCCCGGCUAACUACGUGCCAGCAGCCGCGGUAAUACGUAGGGGGCAAGCGUUAUCCGGAUUUACUGGGUGUAAAGGGAGCGUAGACGGUCCUGCAAGCCAGAUGUGAAAGCCCGGGGCUCAACCCCGGGACUGCAUUUGGAACUGUAAGGCUGGAGUGUCGGAGAGGCAGGCGGAAUUCCUAGUGUAGCGGUGAAAGGCGUAGAUAUUAGGAGGAACACCAGUGGCGAAGGCGGCCUGCUGGACGAUGACUGACGUUGAGGCUCGAAAGCGUGGGGAGCAAACAGGAUUAGAUACCCUUGUAGUC
rnacentral:rRNA from 1 species